rnacentral:rRNA from 1 species
UACGAAGGGUGCAAGCGUUAAUCGGAAUUACUGGGCGUAAAGGGUGCGUAGGCGGUUCGUUAAGUCUGUCGUGAAAUCCCCGGGCUCAACCUGGGAAUGGCGAUGGAUACUGGCGAGCUAGAGUGUGUCAGAGGAUGGUGGAAUUCCCGGUGUAGCGGUGAAAUGCGUAGAGAUCGGGAGGAACAUCAGUGGCGAAGGCGGCCAGCUGGGAUACACCUGACACUGAGGCGCGAAGGCGUGGGGAGCGAACGGG